rnacentral:rRNA from 1 species
AUUGAACGCUGGCGGCAGGCCUAACACAUGCAAGUCGAACGAGUGGCGGACGGGUGAGUAAUGUCUGGGAAACUGCCCGAUGGAGGGGGAUAACUACUGGAAACGGUAGCUAAUACCGCAUACCAUCGGAUGUGCCCAGAUGGGAUUAGCUUGUAGGUGAGGUAACGGCUCACCUAGGCGACGAUCCCUAGCUGGUCUGAGCUGAUGACCAGCAACACUGGAACUGAGACCCGGUCCAGACCCCUACGGGAGGCAGCAGGGGGGAAUAUGGCAAAAUGGGCGCAAGCCUGAUGCAGCAAUGCCGCGUGUAUGAAGAAGGCCUUCGGGUUGUAAAGUACUUUCAGCGGGGAGGCUUUACCCGCAGAAGAAGCACCGGCUAACUCCGUGCCAGCAGCCGCGGUAAUAC